UUAUUGAAGUCCCCAUACUACCCAUUAUAUACAGAACAGUUCAACUUAACUGAAAAAUAUCAAGCAGGGGUAACCACGUAAAAUACAAAAAAAAAACAAAAACAAAUAAGAAAUUAUAAAUAUGAAAUCGUGCACUUCAAAAACGGAGAGAAAGAGGAAAUUAUAGCCCGCCAUCACCAGAGAAAAGAGUAACCGUCAGGGCGCACGAUCGGAGACUGGAGGCAACGUGGGAGAUAUGGCUUCACCAUUAUUCACCCGUCUCUCAGUUUACGGUUCAUGUAAAAGGAGAAAACUCAGAUGGAAGGAGGAGCAGAGCAAACUCAAACCCAGAAGGAGGAAAAGAUUAGCGGUACUUUUCAUACUCGGGUAGUCUCUAUACGUCUUGAAGGAAUCGAAAAAUUUUGGUUACAGGUAAAUUAGAUGAGCGAUUUCUUAACAUUGUGAGAAAAUGAUGUCUCUAAUGUUAGUUCCAGUUUAUUACUCAGUCAAUCUGGAGGAGACGUCUUCUUUGCGGUAACAUCAUAAUACUGAGAUUUGAAAUCACUGCAUGGUUCUCUAUCUCAUUCUCAUAUGUCUUCAUUAAAAUUCAUUUUAGUUUUUUAUUAUUAUUUUUUUAAUUUUUUUAUGGGGUUUGAAUAUACGUGCACAUUCAUGCACCAAUACCAUUACCAGCUGUCGUACAUAUUUAUAUGGGAAUGAGAUAUAGAUAUUCCUCUCAUUCCCCCUCUCUGUUCCUUUGCUUUUGUAUAUCAUCAACUUAAUUGCAUUAGAUAUGUCUGUUAAGAAGGCUUUGAACUCUUUUAGGCCCUAAUAUUUCUCAAUAUUUCUCCUACUUUCUUUUAGUUCUAUCCCUAAUCCUCUUUUUCCUUUGUUCAAUUUAGGUGCAGAGCCAGUGAGAUUGUAGCACGUUUAAGUUCUUUGGUUUUUGUUCCUGACUAUGAGAAGUAAAGCAAGAUAGUAAGUACUGCUGUAGCCACCACAGUUGCAGGUGAUAUUUUGUUUUAUUUGUCUUCUUUUUGGUUUCUGUAAGAUAAUGAUCCCUGGCUUAUAUUAAUGGUUCUUAUGUUUGCUUUAUUUUGUUAGUAUAUUUCGUGCAGAAGUAUUAAGACAACAGUGUGCACUAGGGCUAUUGAGGUAUGCAAUUCCUCAGUUAAAUGCUCUAACUUUUGUUAUAUUCUCAAUUUGGAUUUUAUUUCUGUUCAGUAGAUGCUCAGAAGCAUAGUGUCAGUAAAUCACAAGUGACUAAAAUUAAGUCAUUCUUUGAGCAGUUCCUUUUUUAGGAGCCUCUCCUUUGCCUAGGUCUUGGAGUUUAUUUUUGUUAAUCUACAUGGUUUUGUAUGCCAAAGAAUAUUGUUUCUCUAAAGUUUUUCCAUUUUUGUAAAGUUUAUUCAUGUAUGGAUUGUUAGUCUGACAACUAAAAGGUAGAACAAAUUGGUUAUUAGUUACUCAUAUCCCUUCAAAUCCCAUAGCAACAGCUUCACACUAAAAGGUACGUAGAACAAAUUGGUUGUUAGUACUUCUAUCUAUUUCUUUCAGAGAAGUUUAAUUGGUUAUAUUUUUUGACUGAAUUCUUCAUUGGUUAGUAGUGUUCUUAUUCAUUCUGGAGAAAUGUAGUUUUGAUCUCAGAAUUCCUCAUGAUUUAGUUUGCUUUUGCUUAAAUUUGAUUUUUCUCAAACCCCAUCAGCAAGAUAUGAACUUUUUUGCUCCAUAUGUGUCAAUUUUUGAAGUUAUUGAUGAUUUCGACAGACAUGGUUUAUUGAGCUGGGUCCCCCAACUCCUAAAGAACAAAAUGCUUGCAUUCACAAGUAUAAAGGGCUUUAAUUAGCUGCUCUUUGUAUGAUUUCAAUUCUAUUAUUGAGGAAUUUGAAAGCUUUAAUUGCUUAUUAAGCCAGGUCAGGUGGCUUUAAUUAUAAAGCUAAGUUCAGGGGAGCUACUGCCAAGUCCCUAUCUUUCCUACAAGAGCCAAGAAGAUAAGGGCCUCCCAAAAAAUGGUUUCUUAUGCAACCAUGUGUGCACUUUGGACUGUUUUGGAGACUUUUGAGAAGGACAAGAGGACUCUUCAGGAUUGAAGGCAUUUUGAAAUAAAUUGGGCUUUGAUUGAUCCAAAGACCUCGGUUGAAGUUUUUGGUUUCUGUCAAGGAGUUGCUGCCAUGGGUCAUGAUGCCUCUUCAGAUAGUGUGAAAGUCAAAUGUUCAACAACUCAGAAAUGUUUGAUCUCAGCUCCCAUAAUGUUAUAGAUUCUCUUGAGGUAGUUCCAUAUUUGAAAUACUUAUGGGAGGGAACCUGAUUGAGGAGGAAAAUUGCGUGAUAUUUAGGAUGACAACUCGUGUUCCAUAUUUGGCAUUUGCAAUUGCAUAUUCCAUGCUUUUGCCCGAUAAUGCUGAAUGAUGAACAACCAUCAAGGUUUGAACUAUAGUAGAUACAAGGGGCAACUGACAACCUCCCUUGCUGAUAUUCUCUAUUUUUAUUGAACAUUAGUUUGUAUUUAACAUACAAGGAAUUUUGGUUGUCAUUUUGAGUGGGACAAAGCCAUUGGAGGAGUCACAUUACAAUCAUAUUGUACUAUCUUAUAAGUGGUUUGUUGCUUUAAGAAAAAGUGGAAUAGGUAAAUGG